AUGUCAAGUGAGGAGAAAAUCAGUCCCAAGUUGGCUUUGACCGGCAAGACAAAACAUGAUGCAGCCCCCAAAACCAACAGCAGGUGGCGCUGCGUGCAUGGCUGCCAGCCACGGGGAGCACGUGGCCACCGCCGUGACCCUGCUUCAAGCUGGGGCAUCUCUGGGCUCUCACAGAAACUCAGGGAUACACGCCGCAUCCUCCCACCACCAGAGGGCGAUAAGGAACACACUGCAGGGCCGGUGACAGACCUGGAUUCUGACAGGAGGUUUGCGUUUGUGCACCAGCAGCAGAAGCCCCUCGGACGGGAGGAGACUCUGAUGGACCCACCUGGUCUUAAAAUAGACCAGGCUCUUCAUAGCGGCCAAUGGAUGAGUUUUCAAGGGUCAGGAGCCUCCCACUGGUCCAACCAGCUGUGCCUGAGGGACGGGACUGAGCCCAGCUCCUCCCCGGGUGCGGUCCAGCAGCGGGCACCGCCGUGGGGGGCGGGAAGGCAGAGUGGAGCUGAGGGGGCGCGGCUAAAGCUCGAGUCCGGUAGGGAGAGAGUCCGGGGCACAGCAGGGACGGACGCUGGCAGUGUAGAAGCGGGGGAUGGACAGGCAGGAAUGGAGAAGACAGAGGAUAGAGAAGGAAGUGGACAAACGGCAGAGGAGAUGCGAGUGGACCUAACGGUUGUGAAACAAGAAGUUAUGGACUGGUCGGAAAUGGAAGACGGGAUGCUGCAUGGCCGGUGGGUAAAGCAGGAGGUGAAGGAUGGGCCUGAGGUGAAAGAGGAGAAACCAGGCACUUUGGAGGUGAAGCAGGAGAUGGAUAGUAGUUUUGUGGUAAAAGAAGAGAAAGUGAAGGUGAAGGAAGAGGUGAUGGACUGGCUAGAUGUGAAGGAAGAGAAGAAAGAUAACUUGGAGAUAAAAGAGGAGGUGUUUGUUGCUCAGAACAUAAAAAAGGAGGAAAUGAUGGAUGACGUUUGUGUAAAAGAAGAGAAGUAUUUCCCAAAGGAAGAAGUGAUGGAUGAUCCAAAGGUGAAAGAAGAGCCUCAGAUAAAUCCACCAGUGGGUUUCAAACGGAAACUGGCCAUGUCAAGGUGUGAAACUUGUGGUACAGAAGAAGCAAAGUACAAAUGUCCACGUUGUAUGCGAUAUUCCUGCAGUUUGUCCUGUGUAAAGAAACACAAAGCAGAACUGACCUGUAAUGGAGUCCGGGAUAAGACUGCAUAUGUUUCCAUAUAACAGUUUACUGAAAUGAAUCUCCUAAGUGAUUAUCGGUUUUUGGAAGAUGUGGCAAGAACGGCAGACCACAUUUCUAGAGAUGCUUUCUUAAAAAGACCAAUAAGCAAUAAACAUAUGUACUUUAUGAAAAAUCGUGCCAGAAGACAAGGUAUUAACUUAAAGCUUCUACCCAAUGGAUUCACCAAGAGAAAAGAAAAUUCAACAUUUUUUGAUAAGAAAAAACAACAGUUUUGUUGGCAUGUGAAGCUCCAAUUUCCUCAGAGUCAAGCUGUGUACAUAGAAAAAAGAGUACCAGAUGAUAAAACUAUUAAUGAAAUCCUAAGACCUUACAUUGAUCCUGAAAAGUCCGAUCCUGUAAUUCGUCAAAGGUUGAAAGCCUACAUUCGCUCUCAAACUGGGGUCCAAAUUUUAAUGAAGGUUGAAUAUAUGCAGCAAAAUUUAGUAAGGUAUUAUGAACUGGAUCCUUACAAAAGUCUCCGUGACAAUUUGAGGAACAAAGUGAUCAUUGAGUAUCCAACAUUACAUAUGGUAUUAAAGGAAUCCAGUCAUGACAUGGAAGUUCUUCACCAAGUGAAAAGUGAAUCUCCCAAGAACAUUGGCAAUGAAAAUUGAGCACUUCUUCUGGAGGAAGAAGGCGAAAAUUCCCAGACAGUUGCAGAGGACUGACUAUGCAUUGACUAGCUGUUGGAUGACUGGGAUGUUGUCAGUGGGUGGUUGAAA